UCCUUUGAUCACCGCUAAGGCGCAGCACACCGCAUUGCAUUUGAUAUACAACGUUAGACUCGAUAUCUCCCUUUUUCGCCAAACCCAUAUCCUCUAUGAAUGGUGAUUGCUUUGAGAGAUUAGAGGCAUCAUCCGAAGGCUUCAUGCUCCAACAAGCACGAAUCUAUCUCCUUCAAAAACAACAUUAACGCACCAUCUCCACACUACAAAAGUCUCAAAUCAAUAAACUGCACCAUCUUUCAUUUUUGGUACGAGACGAGUCAUUAUGUCGCACUAAAACUUCUCGAGAGCUGUCAGAGCCUCAUACUAAACCGUCUCCAUGCUAAUCUUUUGAUCCAUCCAAUCUUCUUCUUUCAAAUAUAUUCUCCGUGUACUAUGCCAAACAGAUGUUUGACAGAAUUCCUCAACCAAAAUUAUAAUCAUGGGAAGAGUGGACAACCUCAUUAAGCCUUGGUGCUUCGCGAACAGUUCAAAGAGCUGAGAGUUUAGGCAACUGAGAUCCUUAUUUGGGGUAUCAUCUUAGCUUGCUCACAAUUAAGAAUCUUACCCAGAGUAGAAGAAAUUCUCUUAUGGAUAUGUGGGACAGAAACACUUGUCCAAUUAGUCACUAGUUCGUUACAUAUUUCUGCAAUAGUUCGUUACAACUAUUGCAAAAAUCUAAUAGGAAAAACUUGUCCUGUUAUAGCACUAUGAUCUUGACUUUUGUAAAUCAUGAAAUGGCAAAGGAUGCAAUUCCGCAUUUUUGGCAAAAUUCUGGAAGAAAAUAUUAAACCUGGUCGAGUAACUUUUCUUGCGGUCUUGACCGUUCGUAACCAUGGAGGUCAUGUGAAUGGGGAAAUAGGUUUCUUAAACGAAUGACUGAAGUAGUUAGACUUCAGCCUUUAGAAAGGCAUUGUGCUUGUAAGGUUGAUCUUAUUGACGUGCCGAUGUGUUGACAAAUCGUAGAAAAUAUAUCAGUGUAGAAACCACUCAGAGUGUCUGGAGUUCUUUGCCUGCAGCUUGUAUUAUUUUCAAUAAUACGGAGUUGGCUGAAAUAGCAGCCACAUGGUUAUUUGAGAUUAAACCAGAUUAUACUAGUAAUUAUGUUAUUCUGUCAAACCUUUAUGCUUCUGCUGGAAGGUGGGAUCAUUUCGCAAGAGGUAGAAAGAACAGAGGUUCUAAUUGGAUUUAGUUGCAGCUUGAGGUUCAUGAAUUUGUCACAUUUAGUUUUAAAAUCAUUCAUCAUUUCAUUUAGUUUGAGAAGAUGUGACGCUGACGGGAGAUUAUACAAUGGAGAUCAGAAAAUUCCGAUGGAUCUCAGAAUUCCUGUUAUUUCUUUGUAUCAUCUAUUGCAUCAUUUACCUUUCAUGAACUCUGAAACAAAACCAUCCAUAUGUAGGCCCACUUAAACAGUUGUAAAGAUUUCCAUUUCAAUAUAUAGGCUGGGCGAGUUGAAUUUUCUAUGUCAGUUAAAUAGUUUCCUUCCAUCCCACUUAGUGUAAAUUGCCAUGCUUGAUAUUAUUUAUCUGUUUUUGUAGGUGGUCAAGAAACCAAAACAUUCUUAGUCUUAAUAACUGGUCUUCUAGUAGUCAUAUGUGGGAUUCAGAGAUAAUUUUGUACUUCUUACUGUCAACAGGUGUUCUACUUAAUCAUGUCAAGCGGCAGAACUGCCUUCUUCACGCAGGUCCAACAAAACUUAUAUAAUAAGAUUAUUUAUGUUUUAACAAUGUUCAUGUUCCUUUGAUACUGUUAUUUUCUAUCUAGUUGAUCAAUCAAUAAUCUUCAAUGUGGAACUGUUAACUUGGUAGUUGAAUUUUUGAAAACAGUUUGGCAUAUACUUAGCGUCUCUGUGUUUCUUCUGCCCUAUCCAUAAUACUCAGUGGGAUAAGCCAUAGAACAUCUAAAUAAAUAUGAGAGGUCAUUCUGUAAACUAUAAAACAGUGCUGCAUAUGUCACACAGCAUAUACUUAGUGAUACUUUGGACUCUUAGAACUGUUUCAAUGAGCCCGCCUUGUAAUUGUUGUUCUAAGCUCUAACAAUAAUGAACUGCAAUAUACCUCGUCAAUGCAAUGCUGAACCACUUAAAUUGCUUAGUAUCAAGAUGGACUUCUUGUAAUGCUAGCUUUUUUGUGUCAAGACGGCCAUCUUGUAAUGCUGGCUUUUUGAACCAGAUUUUCUGACAAUUGAAUUGCAUAUUUAUGUAGUGCUUUAAAACUUACUACCAUUUAGAUAGAACGAAUUGUAUGUAACAAGUUUGUAUCUGUUAGGCACUUAGGCUGGUAGCAAAAAUAAACCGGAGAACUAUGAAGUUUCAAUUUUUUGCAAGUUAGCAAGAAGAAGUUCAGCCAUUAUAGUGAUUGUCUAACAAAAAAGCUCUCACCCGGGGAUCUAUUUUCCGGUAUGGCAUAUCUUAUUUUAUUUUAAUAGUUUUCAAUCAAAUCUCUAUAUCUUGAUAAAACUAACAAGAUUAAGUUAAGAUACUGUUCCACAGAGCCAAUUGUGAGCAGAGGAGAAUAACCUUCUUCCAUGUGGUACAGUCAAUGGUUGUAGCUUUUAUGAACCUAUUAAAAUACACCAUUAUGCAAAGGGGAUAGAUUCCUAUGCUUCAAACCAUUAAUUCUGUUUCUGCAAAUCCAUAGCCUAGUUCUAAAAACCAUUUGUCAACUGUCUGGUCAAGUGGGUGUAAAUUAUAAUAUUGCAGAGAUGAUGCUUCAGAUUGUACAAGACAUGAGAAAUGUAUUAGCGGCUUGCACCUUCGAUAUUCCCAUCUUAUCUAUUUAAAAACUUUGGGACAAUAAGCAGACGUGAUAGUUGGUUGAUGCCGUUCCCAAAUUGUUUAUGUAAGAAAGUUACUCUUAUAAGUUUUUAAAAGUUAGGUGGCCAGUUCUUAAAAAGCAUUUAUUGUUUGUGAUUAAAUGAUAGAUAUAAGAAUGUAGUUUACGUCAUGAUGGUCGUUUCCGUUUAUAUAGUUAAUGUAUGUGUUAUAGCAAACCAAAACAUUAUUGAACAUAUUAAAGAUUGGAGAACAACAAUAGAUGAAGUACAAGUCCAUCCAACAUAGCUAAAAAUUUCAAGAAUCGUGGUACUUGUAAAUCUGAAAAUGCGUUAUGUCUAACAUAUGUUCUUUUCUACUUUAUAUGAACUGGGGUUAAUUGCAGUCUUAGACAUUGCAUGAUGGAGCAAAGACUUUUAACUACAAAAGAGGUACAUGAACCAACUGCAGAAAUAAGUAACUGUACAUCAUACACAUAACAUGUGAGGAUGUUCUUUCUUUUAAUAACAGGAACUUGGACAAACCUUCACUAGUUUACUACAUGGACAGUCAAAAGUCUCCUAAUUUACAUAAUCACUAGCAGUGGAAUAAGUAUACAGAAUCAGCAACGGGUGCGGCUUUCCACUACCGUUUCUUUGCUUGACAUGUAGCAUAUUGAGAUCGGAAACAUAUAUAGAAAUUUCAGAGAGAUAUGGUAAAAUACUGAGCCAGUGGAUAUCCCACCAGGUCUGCAUCAACUUUUAAGGGAUAUGUUCAUGUGGUAAGUAUGGACCAAACUGAAGGAAUAAGUCUG